AUUGAACGCUGGCGGCAGGCCUAACACAUGCAAGUCGAACGAGUGGCGGACGGGUGAGUAAUGUCGGGGAAACUGCCUGAUGGAGGGGGCAGACUGGGGGAAACGGUAGAUAAUACCGCUUACCAUGGGAUCUGCCGAGGUGGGAUGAGGUAGUAGGGGGGGUAACGGCUCACCAAGGCGACGUUGCAUAGCUGGUCUGAGAGGGUGACCAGCCACACUGGAACUGAGACACGGUCCAGACUCCUACGGGAGGCAGCAGUGGGGAAUAUUGCACAAUGGACGAAAGCCUGAUGCAGCAACGCCGCGUGAAUGAAGAAGGCCUUCGGGUUGUAAAGUUCUUUCGUCAGGGAGGCGUUACCUGCCGAGGAAGCACCGGCUAACUCCGUGCCAGCAGCCGCGGUAAUUC
rnacentral:rRNA from 1 species